rnacentral:rRNA from 1 species
AUUGAACGCUGGCGGCAGGCCUAACACAUGCAAGUCGAACGAGUGGCGGACGGGUGAGUAAUGUCUGGGAAACUGCCCGAUGGAGGGGGAUAACUAAUGGAAACGGUAGCUAAUACCGCAUACCAUCGGAUGUGCCCAGUUGGGGUUGGCUAGUAGGUGGGGUAAAGGCUCACCUAGGCGACGAUCCCUAGCUGGUCUGAGAGGAUGACCAGCCACACUGGAACUGAGACCCAGUCCAGACUCCUACGGGAGGCAGCAGGUGGGAAUAUUGCACAAUGGGCGCAAGCCUGAUGCAGCCAUGCCGCGUGUCUGAAGAAGGCCUUCGGGUUGUAAAGUACUUUCGGCGAGGAGGCGUUACUCGCAGAAGAAGCACCGGCUAACUCCGUGCCAGCCGCCGCGGUAAUUC